rnacentral:rRNA from 1 species
UAGUAGCAGUCUAUAGCGGCAGGCCUAACACAUGCAAGUCGAACGGUAACAGCAGAGCUUGCUCUGGCUGACGAGUGGCGCACGGGUGCGUGAACGCGUGAUGACAAUCUGCCUAUGUACUGGGGUAUAGCCCGAAGAAAUUUGGAUUAACCCCCCAUAGUAUUGAGAUAAGGCAUCUUAUUUCAAUUAAAACCACGGUGGUAAUAGAUGAGUAUGCGUCCUAUUAGUUUGUUGGUAAGGUAACGGCUUACCAAGACUUCGAUAGGUAGGGGUCCUGAGAGGGAGAUCCCCCACACUGGUACUGAGACACGGACCAGACUCCUACGGGAGGCAGCAGUGAGGAAUAUUGGACAAUGGAGGCAACUCUGAUCCAGCCAUGCCGCGUGCAGGAAGACUGCCCUAUGGGUUGUAAACUGCUUUUAUAGAGGAAGAAACCUCCCUUCGUGAAGGGAAUUGACGGUACUCUACGAAUAAGGAUCGGCUAACUCCGUGCCAGCAGCCGCGGUAAUACGGAGGAUCCAAGCGUUAUCCGGAAUCAUUGGGUUUAAAGGGUCCGUAGGCGGACUAAUAAGUCAGUGGUGAAAGUCUGCAGCUCAACUGUAGAAUUGCCAUUGAUACUGUUAGUCUUGAGUCAUUAUGAAGUGGUUAGAAUGAGUGGUGUAGCGGUGAAAUGCAUAGAUAUCACUCAGAAUACCGAUGGCGAAGGCAGAUCACUAUUAUUGUACUGACGCUGAUGGACGAAAGCGUAGGUAGCGAACAGGAAUAGAUACCCUGGUAGUCUACGCCGUAACGAAUGGUACUAGCUGUUUGGGUCGAAUGAGACNGAAGUGCNAAGCGAAAGUAUUAGUACCCACCCC